rnacentral:rRNA from 1 species
UACGGAGGAUGCGAGCGUUAUCCGGAUUUAUUGGGUUUAAAGGGUGCGUAGGCGGACGCUUAAGUCAGCGGUAAAAUUGCGGGGCUCAACCUCGUCGAGCCGUUGAAACUGGGUGCCUUGAGUGGGCGAGAAGUGCGCGGAAUGCGUGGUGUAGCGGUGAAAUGCAUAGAUAUCACGCAGAACUCCGAUUGCGAAGGCAGCGUACCGGCGCCCAACUGACGCUGAAGCACGAAGGCGUGGGUGUCGAACAGG